GAAAAAAAUCCAGCUGCAUUGAAGGUGCAUUUUGCCUUAGAAAGAGAGGGAUACCACAGAAAGAGAGAAGAUGUGGGUCCAUUUCCCCACUCACCACCAAGAAGUCCUGUGAUCUUGAUCUUUCUGACCUCAAUUUCCUCUCGUUUAGGAAAGGGAAAUGAUCACCCAUCUUCCAGAAUACUCUUGAGGGCUGAGUAAGACCAUGCUUGGGAAGGCACUGGGCACAGGCCUGGAGUGUAGCAGAUGCUCAUAUUGGUCAUGUCCAAAUCUGAACUUCCUGAAUUCCCUGGGAUAUAUGCGUACAGGUGUUGUGAAGAGAAAGAUAUACAGAUUAAGGCCUGUACU
rnacentral:lncRNA from 1 species